rnacentral:rRNA from 1 species
AUACGGAGGGUGCAAGCGUUAAUCGGAAUUACUGGGCGUAAAGCGUGCGCAGGCGGUUUGUUAAGUCAGAUGUGAAAGCCCCGGGCUCAACCUGGGAACUGCAUUUGAAACUGGCAAACUAGAGUGUGGUAGAGGGAAGUGGAAUUCCUCGUGUAGCGGUGAAAUGCGUAGAUAUGAGGAGGAACACCAGUGGCGAAGGCGACUUCCUGGACCAACACUGACGCUCAUGUACGAAAGCGUGGGUAGCAAACAGGAUUAGAAACCCCAGUAGUCC